GCCUGGGUGGCUCAGUUGGUUAAGCGUCUGACUUUGGCUCAGGUCAUGAUCGUGGGUUUGAGCCCCACGUUGGGCU